CUUGCCCAACAUUGGAAACAGCUGCUUCCUGAACGCGUCCCUGCAGUGUCUCUACAGCCUGCCCUGCUUCUGCAGUGACAUCACGGGGCAGGAGGACCUCUGGAGCCCCCGGAGAAGAACCAAGCUGAAGCUGCUGAGGUCCAGUAGAGAUCCAGACCCUUAGCCCUCACACUAGAGGAGAACCAGACCCUUAGCCCUCACAUUAGAGGAGAACCAGAACCAUAGCCCUCACAAACUACAGUACAGCUUGGACGAUUUACUGACAAAGUGAAUGCUCCACUGUACAAUAUUAAGUACAGUAGGUAUACUAAAUGCACUUGGUCUUUUCGUAUGCUGUUCUCCAGGUACUUGGGGGAGCUAUAUAAAUCCCGGCAGGGUGAGGGCUCCUACAAAGGCAAGCGCCGGCUCCUUUGGUCCAUCAAGAGCAGUCUGGCAGAGUUCAACGAGGAGUACGAGCAUAUCACUGAGCAGGUACAGCUGAUGAGUCCUUAUCUCUUGGCUUAUGCGCUUGUUGAGGAUUAAACACAUGUCAACUGAACUUCUGGUUUCUGACAGGAUGCUCAUGAGUUCCUGCUCCUCCUCUUCAUGAAGAUGAAGAUGGAAGGUGAGACACUGCAGGAGAUCUCCACGUCACCCAGCUAUAUCUGCCCCGUCCAGAACUUUGAGUUCAGACUGCAGUGUGUACGCACCUGCACCAGCUGCGGUGACAAGGUCUUCCAGGAGGAGGAGCAGAACCACUUGUCCUUGGACCUCCACCCGUCGUUGAUAGCUGGCCUCCAAUUCUACUUCAAAGUCAGUACACCGUUGUGUUGGUGUGUCCGAUUACGCUGGUCCACUGAUACUCACAGAGCACUUUCCCUCAGCCUUCAGAGUUGGAGUGCACCUGCCGGCAGUGCUCUGGAUGCCAGGCAACAGCGGUUCGGCAUUUCCUCACUCUGCCCAGAGUGUUACUCCUUCACAUGAAGCGCUUCCACCACGACGGGGCACGGUUGAGGAAGGUGACCGAUGCUGUCAGCGUUCCUCCAUGGCUGUCUCUGGCCUCCCUCGUUGGAGAGCAGGGUGCUGCAGCUGGGAUAGACCCACUGAGAUCAAGUUAUGGAGAGGGGGAAAUCGCAUCUGGAGCAAAACCAAGUGCAAACAUGGGUAAGAAAAAAGUGAUGGAUUCCUAUCUCAUGCCCAACCGCUUGAGUUUUUCAGUUGUGUACAAAACAGGAUUGUUGGUGUGUUUCUCAGCAGCAGUGGAUCAUCUUGACAGUGCAGGAGACAGGGACAGAGGUCUUCAGGAAGUUCAUGGGGUGAGAGGGGCCAGGGAGAGAGCUGUAGUACACAGUGGGACAGAAUAUGGACAGAUUCAAGUGAUGAUGCAACAGAGAAGCCCCAAGUGUUUUUUACACUGGCACUAUGCCCGUCUUAUUUGA
ensembl:lncRNA